UACGUAGGGGGCAAGCGUUGUCCGGAAUCAUUGGGCGUAAAGAGCGUGUAGGCGGCCCGAUAAGUCCGCUGUGAAAGUCCAGGGCUCAACCCUGGGAUGCCGGUGGAUACUGUCGGGCUCGAGUCCGGAAGAGGAGUGUGGAAUUCCUGGUGUAGCGGUGAAAUGCGCAGAUAUCUGGAGGAACACCGGUGGCGAAGGCGGCAUCUGGACCGGU
rnacentral:rRNA from 1 species